GCUUGCAAGAUUGUCAAAUGAGCGCUGAGGAACAAAGUCAAAUAGUAAUAAAGAGAAAUCAUGAGCUUUUCUCCCACGAGGCAUGCGAACCCAGACCAUGUGAACUUCUAAUUCGAUUGGCAGAGAUGAGUAUGGCUGUAUUUGGUCGCUGCCUUUGUUGUUUGAAUGAUCGAGAACCUAGCUGAGGAAGCAAUUCGUAGGCAAAGUUCGAACUCCACCGACGCUACUUUCCGCAUCACGACUGCUCAUCUUCCACUAGACACGAGCGGACAGAAGAAGUCCGUUUUCCUGAAACGGAGUCCCUAGCGAACCGAUGGCGAUGGAGACCAGCGAUUUGAGGCGACAGACUACAACUGCUGACCGAAGCAAUGGAAGAUGAUGUAGCUUCGGGUGAAGGAUCUCUCUGCUGAGGUUCCGGGCUCGUGCGGAUUGCUAUAGAUCAGGUGAAGUCUAGGUUCAAAGGAAAAAACAAGCAAUGAAGGGUGACCAGUGGGAAGGAGGGUGUGCAUGGGUUGGUUCAGUCCCCUUUUCAGGCAAAAAAUUGAGUGAAUCCGGGUGCUAUAGAUGUGGAACCAGGCGGACAACCAGCCACACUGUGGGGAGAGAGAGAGAGUAGUAUGUACCUAUCAUGAAGAUGUGCAGCUGGUGACAUAGGUUGGCCCAGACGAUUGAAUUUUGGUAUAGGACCCUAUUGCUAAGUUCUAUGAGGCACUUGAAGAGUUAAAAAAAUAGUAUUAUGAAGAAGAUGCAGUGAAAUGGCUAGCCACCACAGAAGGUGUGCAUGCAUGAAAGAACUUUCUCUGAACAAGUAACAAGCCCUAUUUGCCUUCCUUGUAUAAGGCAAAGCUUGCUCUGGACAGCCUUGAAGUUCCAGUUGGCCAACAGGACUUGCAGAGAUGAACGCUCUUGCAGAGGACAGGAUUUUAGGUUGCAGAAGUUGCAGAAAAGUUUUCGGCAUGCUCCCUUUAUGUGACAUGCGAACCAUGGAUUAUGUAUGGAGCAGCAUCAUCGAUCAUUGGUACAUCUGUUGAUCAUGCUGAAAUAAAACUAAACUUUCCUAAAAUUUGUUUGCAUAUAAAUGAUUAGAUGACACUUGGCCACUUUUAGGUAAAGAAGUAUAUUAUGGCCGUGCAAAUGAUUGAUUUGGAAGCUGUGGCUCGAUACUGUGUUGCAUUCAAGUAUUCCUGAGGCAUGCAUUAGGGCAGGUUCUGAACUUGCUUUUGUUGCUGAUGUUGUAUCUACUUAGCUCCACUUUAGAAAUUGUGACAUGUGACAAUUGACAACUCAAGCUUACUGGAGGUUUUUUAUUCCUUAUCUUGAUUACUGAUGGAUGUGGUAUCGCAGUGAUUCUGUUUGCAGUCGCACCUUGAAUAUUGCAACACAUAACCAUGGAAAUAGAAAAAGUUUAUGGAACUAAAUUUCAUCUUUUCUGUCCUUUUCCUAGUCUAAAUGGAAAAAAGUGAAGUUUCCCAAAGCCUCUAGAAGUCGAGUUUAUAUCAAUUCUUUCUGUCCUCACUUUAUUUCCUUUUUCUUAAAUUCCUCAUGACUGGUUAAACAUUUUCCUUUUUUUUUUUUUAAAUUUCCACUAAGAGUUCUCGGAAGUGCUACAAGUUAAGCUAACAUUAGUUUGUUUUUUCCUUUUCCUUUUGCCCCCUGUUUCUUCAUCUCUUCUUCCUCACUUGCUUUCACUGCAGUGAGAUUCUUUGAUGUCUUAAUGUUAUCAAGUUUAAAUCAGGAAAUAUAGUAUCUUCAAAGAAAUAUGAUUUUGUAACUAUGAGCAAAUUGUGCUUUCUGAUAUGCUGUGGGCAAUGUACUUGAUCUUCUUGCAUACAUCAGGGCAAGUGCUAGCUAAACUGUGGCAUAUGGCUUGUGUUUCCAGUAUGAUUUAUUAUCUGUCUGAUGCUGCCAUAACCUAACAUUUCAUGUUUGCUAAGCUUGGGCAGAACUCAUCAAUUUUUUAUUCAGACUUUGUUGACAUAAAACUUAAAACGUACUGAAAUAGGAUCUGUUUCAAUGUAGCUCAUGAAGUAGCUAAUUUAGAUUACGAAAUUGUCUCUUUGUUGAAGUAUUAGUUUUGAAAGAAGAAGCUCAAGUACAAGGGGUAAGAAGCAUGAGGAUGCACCAAGGGAUGCAUCAAAACAAAAAAGUUCAGCCAAAAAAAAAAAAAAAAACAUGAAAGCUCUGACUUUAAGAGCUUGAAAUACAUGGUUAUGCUGCUGUAAAUAAUGUGAUUAUGAGUCAAAAGUAUUGUGGGAAACAUGACGUAGCUCUUUACCUUUCUGAAUACAACAUUAAGCAAGGGGACUCAUCUUGCAGAUAAAGGACCACUUGCUCAAUUUCCUCUCUCUGGAGCUCAUAAACUAGCCCAAGGUACUGCAUAAUUUCAUGAUAGAGAGAACAAGACUGUUAUAAUGUUGAGCACGGUUCCUGUGCGAUGUUUGGAAGAUGUAGCUGAUUGAAACCCCUCCUAGCCAGUACUAGUACAAGAGCCAUCCAUAAAUCUUCUCUCAAUCAUAUCACUGUUGCAAGAUGUAUCUGAAGAGAAGUUGCCCAUCCAAAUUAAAAGCCUCUAAGCAUCACUCUGUUUACAGCAUGUUGUUUGUUCUCCAAGGACAUUAGGUUCCAUGCUGAAGAAAAAAUAUAGAACAACCCAAAGGCAUCAUGAAAGUAGAAAAUUUUUAGCAAUAGAUACCCCAAGCAUACACUCUUUUAUAUUUGAUGCAAGAAUUUUGCCAAGGUCAGUGCCUAGUUACUGUCAAGUUAAUCAAUUGGUACAGUUCAGCAUGAAAACCUAUUAUCUGAAGUACAGACAUUUCUUAGAAUUGCUAUUCUCAAGACAGAUAUGUAAACCUCCUAACUAAACAUAUUCUCCCACUAGCGAACUUGAUUUUGUUUAAAAAGUAACUUCUUUUGCAAAUUGCUCUGUCAAUUAGUCUGAUAUAUUAUCUCUAGCAUGAUAUUUGGACACGUCUUGCAAAUGGAAUUUGUCUUGGGAUUUCAAGCUGAUGAGCUAGGUAAAAUUGCAGAAUCAUCGGAAAUAUUGGCUGGUUUCCACAAAAUCAUCAGGUUUCAAGUGUCUGCCUGAAAUAUGAAUGUUUCCAACCUUUUUCUUGUUUCUCUUGCCAUAAUGGGAAUUAUGGAUCAAAGGAUUUCAAAUGUUGGAGAUAGGAUAGUGUAAGAAGCAAUAUCUCUUCUGUGAAAUUAUAAUGAACAAGGAAACCCUAAUGGUAUGAACAGUGAUCAACCACCAGUUGAACUGUCUACUCGAAAUUUUUUUAUAAUACUACAGUUAGCACCUAUUUACAUCAGAUAACCUAAGGAAAAUGAUAGUUCUUUUUCAAUGAACCUGUAGUUAAGUACACAUUUUAACAGGUUUCACGAGCAUAAUAGAGUAACUCUACUUUUUGAACCAGAGUUUACUUUAUCAAUCAAUGAAGUAGAGCAUUGCGACUGCUAGCUAUAUCUCCCUGAAAGACCCUCUCGGAGCACACAUCCAUUUCGAUAUUGUUUAAGAACAAUUUAGGAAGUCUCUUUCUAUUUCUACCUUUUGAUCAAUUCUCCCAACCAGCUAGAGAAAGAAUUGUAGCUGGGGCUUUUCUUGAUUGCAGAUCUUGCUAAACUACUCUCUCUCUCUCUCUCUCUCUCUCUCUCUCUCUCUAGUCACGCUUGGACUUGUUUAUAUCUAAAUCGUUUGCUGCAGUAAAGAUAUGUUGUAUCUAUACUCUGCAGAUUAUCUGCACAUCCCAAGUCAAUAAACCUGGCCCAGUUGAAUGUUUUGUAAUAACAAAGUGUUGAUGAAAUUCCAAGCUUUGAACUAGCGGGCUGUCGGUUGGAUAGAAACCCAUUCAGAAGUUUUCUCCAUCAAGGAUAAGGUGCUUAUCUUGAGAUGCUUCAAAGCCUCACAGGUCGUGGGUUCAUCAGGCUUCUCAUUCGAUCUGCAUGCGUUGAUUCUUCCUGUCGAAUCCUCUCAUGCCUUUGCACAACUAGAAUUUCAUCAAGAACCUGAGAAAGGAGGCAUUGUGCAUGAGCAGAUCAGUUUUUGCCUGGAUGUUCAUGUGAUUGCGGAGGACUGCAGCUGUGAUCAAAGUCCAUUUCAUGCUUUAUCUUGUUUAUCAGAUGUUUGAGAUAAUUUACGGCAUAAUCUUGUGUAGGCAUCAUUUUUCUGAUGCUAAGUUUUUGUCAUCACACAUAUUCUAUGAUCUAACUUGAUUUUUUUAGUUUUUCAAACUUUGAGGUAAUUCCAGGCGUGCUAUUAAUGUGUUUGAGCUUCAUAGUUCUGAACUAUUUUAUGGGCUAUCACCAAUGAUGAUUA